GCUGGUGUAGGCAAUGAAUUUUACGCCUGCCGCUUUCGCCGCAUCGAUAACGUUGCGGUGCUGAACCGCGCGCUGGCCC
rnacentral:tRNA from 1 species